rnacentral:misc_RNA from 1 species
CUUCCCUGUAAAUAGAUUACUUUAUAUGUAAUGCUUUAAAUAACUUAAUGGAAUGAAGCUUGCUUUCUUGUGUCGAUGUUUUAGAUAUUUGUUAUUAUUCAUGGACUCCUACUUUAUAGAACCUUUAGACAUUGAAAAAAAAGUUGAUUGUGUUCUGUUUUAUAUCUAGUUUUAAAUUUUUGGACAUCUAAGAGCAAUACUGAUUGUGAUGAUGGUUUAACUUGCGAUGAGUUCCUAUAUUAAUGGACUUCUGUUUUAAUUUUGCUGCCUGAUGUAUCUCAACUAAAUCUGCAGGGUUCUAGUACUGACAAUAGG